AUUGAACGCUGGCGGCAUGCCUUACACAUGCAAGUCGAACGGUAACAGGUCUUCGGAUGCUGACGAGUGGCGAACGGGUGAGUAAUACAUCGGAACGUGCCUAGUAGUGGGGGAUAACUACUCGAAAGAGUGGCUAAUACCGCAUGAGAUCUACUGAUGAAAGCAGUGGAUCGCAAGACCUUGUGCUACUAGAGCGGCCGAUGGCAGAUUAGGUAGUUGGUGGGAUAAAAGCUUACCAAGCCGACGAUCUGUAGCUGGUCUGAGAGGACGAUCAGCCACACUGGGACGGAGAAACGGCCCAGACUCCUACGGGAGGCAGCAGUGGGGAAUUUUGGACAAUGGGCGCAAGCCUGAUCCAGCAAUGCCGCGUGCAGGAUGAAGGCCUUCGGGUUGUAAACUGCUUUUGUACGGAACGAAAAGCCCCGGGUUAAUACCCUGGGGUCAUGACGGUACCGUAAGAAUAAGCACCGGCUAACUACGUGCCAGCCGCCGCAGUAA
rnacentral:rRNA from 1 species